UACGUAGGGUCCGAGCGUUAAUCGGAAUUACUGGGCGUAAAGCGUGCGCAGGCGGUUUUGUAAGCCAGAUGUGAAAGCCCCGGGCUUAACCUGGGAAUGGCAUUUGGGACUGCAAGGCUGGAGUACGGCAGAGGGAGGUGGAAUUCCAGGUGUAGCAGUGAAAUGCGUAGAGAUCUGGAGGAACACCAGUGGCGAAGGCGAGUCCCUGGACAACACCUGACACUGAGGCACGAAAGCUAGGGGAGCAAACAGG
rnacentral:rRNA from 1 species